rnacentral:rRNA from 1 species
UACAGAGGGGGCAAGCGUUGUUCGGAAUUACUGGGCGUAAAGGGCGCGUAGGCGGCCGCCUAAGUCAGACGUGAAAUCCCUCGGCUCAACCGGGGAACUGCGUCUGAUACUGGGUGGCUUGAAUCCGGGAGAGGGAUGCGGAAUUCCAGGUGUAGCGGUGAAAUGCGUAGAUAUUCGCAAGAACACCAGUGGCGAAGGCGGCUCACUGGCCCGAUACUGACGCUGAGGCACGAAAGCGUGGGGAGCAAACAGG